rnacentral:rRNA from 1 species
AUUGAACGCUGGCGGCAGGCCUGACACAUGCAAGUCGAACGGUAGCACAGAGAGCUUGCUCUCGGGUGACGAGUGGCGGACGGGUGAGUAAUGUCUGGGAAACUGCCCGAUGGAGGGGGAUAACUACUGGAAACGGUAGCUAAUACCCCAUAACGUCGCAAGACCAAAGUGGGGGACCUUCGGGCCUCACACCAUCGGAUGUGCCCAGAUGGGAUUAGCUAGUAGGUGGGGUAAUGGCUCACCUAGGCGACGAUCCCUAGCUGGUCUGAGAGGAUGACCAGCCACACUGGAACUGAGACACGGUCCAGACUCCUACGGGAGGCAGCAGUGGGGAAUAUUGCACAAUGGGCGCAAGCCUGAUGCAGCCAUGCCGCGUGUAUGAAGAAGGCCUUCGGGUUGUAAAGUACUUUCAGCGGGGAGGAAGGCGGUGAAGUUAAUAGCUUCACCGAUUGACGUUACCCGCAGAAGAAGCACCGGCUAACUCCGUGCCAGCCGCCGCCGUAA